GAAAAAUAUCAAAAAUUUUAAAUCGUAAACGUCAAAAAAAUAUAAAAAUCAAGAAAAGGCAUAAAAACACCUCAAAAAAUUCACGAAUCACACCAUUCACCUUAGAAUAUCGAUAUGAAUAAAAUAUCAAAUUUCCACAUAUUUUUCGUGACUGUCCGAAAAAUAUUGAAAAUUUAAUUAGUAAACAUUCGAGAAAUAUAAAAAUCAAGAAAGACAUAAAAACACCUAAAAAAUUCUCAAAUCGCAC
rnacentral:lncRNA from 1 species